rnacentral:sRNA from 1 species
UCUUUGAUCACAUCGCAGUGCCAGCCUCACUUGUCCAGCCUGGUGUCUUACGCUGCUACUGUCCCGCCCAUGAGGUAGGGCUGGUGUCUUUGCAGGUGGCAGGGCGGGAGGGGCCCCUUUCUGCUUCUGUGCUCUUUGAGUAUCGAGCCCGCCGAUUCCUGUCUCUGUCUAGUACUCAACUUGACUGGCUGUCACUGGAUGACAACCAGUUCCGGAUGUCCAUACUAGAGCGACUGGAGCAGAUGGAGAAGCGGAUGGCAGAGAUCGCAGCAGCUGGGCAGGUGCCUUGCCAGGGUCCUGACGCUCCUCCAGUUCAGGAGUGUGGAGACUGGAAGCUUGGACUUAGAGCAGGAGGUUGACCCGCUCAACGUGGAUCAUUUCUCUUGCACCCCUCUGAUGUGGGCUUGUGCCCUGGGACACCUGGAAGCUGCUGUGCU